AAUACAGACUGGAAGAAUGUGGAAAUGUGACAUGGAGUCAAACCAACUGCAAUAUAAGUAACAUAGUAGGGGUGAGAUGUGAACAAGCAAUACGUUUAGUAGGAGACAGGGGACCCACUGACGGACGAGUUGAAGUUCUUCAUGAUGGUAUCUGGAAGAAUGUUUGCGAUGAUUAUUUUAGUAAAAUUGCUGGAAAAAUUGUUUGUAGACAAUUAGGAUUCCUCGAUCUUCAACAUCUUGAGGAAAUUGAAAUCUAUGUUACGAACAAUAAUUCAUGGAUUGAGAAUGGUAAUUCGUAUUGGUUGGAUGAUACUAACUGUCAGGGGUAUGAAAGUCGUCUGGAAUAUUGUCCUCAUCUAAGAUUUGGGGAAAACAACUGCAUGAGUAGUGAAGUAGCCGGGGUGCG